GAGGGAGGGUUAGCGAAGAAAGGGGGAAUGGAGGAGGGAGGUACGGAGGAGGCAAGCCGGAGGGGCAGGCAGGAGAGAAGGAGAAGAAAGGGGGCAUAAGAGGAAGCAGCACGGAUGGGCGGAGGGGCAGCGAGAGAAGAGCGGGCCCUUACAUAGGUUGCGUUUGGACAGAGAGAGACGAGAGGCCAGCAGCUGCAAACAGCAGAGACAGUAAAGACAUGGUGGCUUCACAAAACUCAACUUUAAAGAAUUUGGUGAUGGCAUAGCAUUACUGAUCAGACAGAACCUGGACCAGAGCCACAGUGGAAAUCGUGUACUUGGCAAGCAAGCCCCUUCGGCAUUGUUCCACAUGAUCCCAAGUGAACCAAGCAAGAGGUAUUUGACCUACUUGGAUUCUGUGGAAAAUAUCUAUUGACAACACCAGGGGAACUUGAGCAAUGAUUUCUUUUGUAGCAUCCUCUCUUGGCAAAUGCAUCAGCCUGGGGAACCUCAGACAGCGCAGGACUGGAUUAAGAAUCCCGCCUUCAGGAAGACAAAUAGCAAAAAUGAAUGCUUCAGUUCUGAUUGCCAUGGCCCUAGCUUCUCCAGGCCUGAAACACAAAACUUCCCUUGCUUGUACUGCAUUCAAUUGUACCUGAUUCUCACUCACCUGAUGAUCUCCUAGGAUUUUCUCAUGUCAUUACUGUGUUGCAGUUACUAUGAGAAAGCAGGUAUGUCUCAGGCACUGAAUCAAACGCUUAUUCUGAGCAGGAUUUAUGUGACUCUAGACAGGGCCCAUGCACUCUGCACCCUGCUACCAUAUCAGCUUUGACUAUUGGAUGACAUUGUAUCAGACAUUGUGAAAGUGAGUUUUUAGCUUGGGAAGGGAAAGUGAAAUCUACCUGACAUUACUCAAGACAUCAGACUUUGUUUCUUGUCACAGUAACAGGUGAUCCUUGCAAUUCAGGACUUCAGCAUAUCCAAGGACACUGUGUGGAAACUGACUUCAGGACAUUCACUUGGAAGCUUCCCCUACCAGGUCAAAAAUGCGUUUUUCCAACACCCAGGAUCAUGUCACCCAGCACAGAGAUAAUCUGCAUACCUUAAGGGAAUGAUAAUUGUCUUCUGUAUUCUUUUCUAUGCCAAAUCUAUCACAAGUUUGAAAACUAAAAUUAAGUCUUUCCUGAAGUAUGUUUGAAUUCAGGGAGUUACUUGAUUCUGCUUGUCAUUGCUAUGAAGAAUUUUUGGCUUCUCUCCUCCCGUCCCAAGCUUCUGUGAAGUGUAAGUCUCUGCAGACAUCUUGCCUUCUCCUUUCUACCAAGCCAGAGAGCCCCUGUUGGCUAAGUGUGUGACAUACCCUACCAUCAUCAGUACUAGAUUAAGUAGGGAAGGAAUAACCUUGAGAUGUAGUUCCUUCUGAUGAGGAGAUAGUUAUUCUUAAAUAUGUUAAAAAAAAAAGUUAUCUGUAAGCUAUCUGUAGAAUAAAGUCUGACUUAAAAUCAAGGACUUUUCUUUGAGGUAGACAAGUACACAUAGCCAGUGACCACUUGAAAGUAAUUAAAUCAGUAACUGAAAAGGCCUUAGUGAAGGUUGCCAAUGGAUGAGCUCAUGAGCUUGACUGCCAGGGUGCAGGGUGCAGGCACAGUCCCCGAUGGCCCUGAUGGGUCAGUCUGUUGAUCUCAGUGUGCUGGGAGCUUGAGGGAUCAUAGUCUUCUUGUGUCAGCGUGGCCCGGAGAGAGCAGCAGGAUGCAGAGAUGCCACACACCUCCAUCUAUCACCUAACCCUAGCGUUGUCUUCCGUGGUUGUUACAAAAAUUUGCAACACAGUGACUUCUUCCUUUUGAUCUAGAGCCUGGAGAUCUCGUGGAUGUGGUGGUUUAACCCCAGCCAGCAAGUUCCUGCCUGCUACUCUGCCUUCCCUGUACUCCUCUUGACUUGUGGAGAUUGGUCCUCAGUGAUCUGAUGGCUUCUGUGGUGGGUCUGAGGGUAGCCCAACAGGAUAUAAUUUGGGUUCCCCAUCCUUCCACUGUCUCUCUGAGCAUCCUUGUGGGUGUGCAGGUGAGCUUUAUGACACAACUGAAUAGCUCUUCUGCCACAGAUAGCAGUCCAGAUAAUAAUAAGAAGGAAAAACUAACAAAAAACCCAAACCACCACUCCUCCACCAAAUAGUUGUAACCUUUCAAUUGUAACUGAUUUUUGUUAGUGAAAUUUAAACCCCUCUGGAGGAAAGCACCCAUUUGCUGUUGGCCUUAUAAGUACACGUAUUUGAUACUGUGAGUUGUGGGAGAUGAUUUCUGGAAUCUGUUCCUUCCUCAUUUAUAAGGAAAAAAAAUCAGAAAAACAGUGAAGAAAAUGUGCCAUUUUACAUUGGUCAUACUUUUCGGUUUCUUUCGUGUUUUCUUUUUACCUUGUUUUUGAUGAUGAUGGAAAUAUAAGAAGUGGUUUCUUUUUUGUAAAGAGCUUCAUGUAGAUUGCCAAGACUCACUUCCAAAGAGUUGAAAGUCAUGUUCUAAUCAUUACAAAAUUCUUCUCUUUUUAUCAAGCUUCAGUUAUUAUGUGUGUUUAAAAAAGGGAGUUGCUUUUGGAUACUCCUUGGAAUUACGUGGUGUUCAAAGAAGCUGCUGCUAAGAAAUUGCAGAGUUCAAGUUUUUCUUCUUAGCAGAAGAAUGUGGCCAUGAACAGCUCUCCAUCUGCCUUAGAAGAACACCUUCAUUUAUAGCUGUAUAUUUAAAUUUAUAUUUUAGAGCACAGACAAAGUUGCCUGGCAUGAAAGACAGCUUUCCUAGGCAGCGGAUUUAUUGUACAUUGAAAUAAGCAGCUCACAGAAGUGGACAGAACCAAUCUGACAUCAUGCAGCCUGUUCAUGUUAGUCUUCACAUGAAGAACUACUAAAGAGUUGUAAUGUCAGAGUUCUGUCUCUUGUAACAGUGGAUAACAACUCUGCACUGGCUAGAUGCCUUCUGCUGCUCUCUGAGCUGAACAGGAAAUCUAAUUUAUCUCAUGUGGUUUCCUGAUGAAAUAUAUACUGGCAAUGACAAACGUAUGAGCACUGCUAAAUUCAGUUGCUGAAUUCAGAUAGUGAAAGAUAUCUUCUGGGUUUUUUUGUUUUGUCUUUUUUUUCCUACAAUGAAACAUUAAACUUGCCAAACAAAUGACUAAAGGUCAACAUAAAAUAUAAUAUGGAAAUUGCUUCUUUCUUUAGUUACCUGAAAAAUAAUAACUAAAAUAUAAUUAAGAGAGAGAGAGAGAUUUCUGGUUUAAUGUGUAUAUUUUACAUAUCAAAAAAUGGAAGAUAUUCUCACUGAAGUAACAUCUAUCCUGAAGCUUCACAAGGGCACCUCACAGCUCCCGAGUAAGCUCUGCAUUAGUGCUUAUCUGAGAUGACUAAAGAGCAUGAAUGAAAUGCCAAACUCUUUGGGUACCAUUAAGUCUCCCUCUUUGGGAAGGUAUGCAUUCAGUCACUAGGGAGAGAAAACAGCCAGACAGUGAAAACAGCCAGACAGUGGCUGCUGAAACCACACAGUGGUGCAGGUGAAAUAUUUGGCUAUGAACAGCUAAACUAUUUAGUCAGUAAUAAUUUUUAUUCUAAGUAGAAUUCCCUGGUCAACAUCCAAAUGCUGACACUAGCUGUUUUUCCUGGUUCAAACAGAGAGUGAGAAGGGGAACAACUGGGAUAACCACAGUCAAACCUGACACCUUCUGUUUCAUGUGAUCAGUAAAUACUUUGUGCAAAGUAAAGCUGACAUAGCUGGCACAGCAAAGCAGGUAGCAGCUCUAGAAGCAAAAAACUGGCACUCUGGAGCUUAUGCCAGUUUGAUCCCUUCUGCUAUUCUGUAUCACAGGACAUAUUGUAGAUUCUUUAUUUUCUACUCUUAUUUAAAAAAAAAAUUUGUUUUACAGAGUUUGUAAUCUCCAAUUUUUAGUUACAGAAAGACUCUAGAAACAUUUAACAUCUGUGCUUUCUCUAAGUUUGCUUGUUCUUGACAAUGCUUGUCUCAGAAAAACCACAAUCUUUCAAAUCAUGGUGGUCUAUACUGAUCUCACUGGUCAUUGCAGCACUAGCCAUUAGCAAACACAAUUCUACACUAUCUAAUUAAAUUCUUCUGGGUUUGGCAUUUAGUUUUGUGGGCUGAUUCACAGCAAUGUACUUACUUGUGCUGGGUUCAUAUACAGCUGUGUGGCUUCACAACUGCCAUUAGCCAAUUUGAGAAGGUACUCUUCCAAAAAGAAUGAUUCUUCUUUUUGCCCAGGUGUGCAUCACCAUUGAUUUCCUUGUGGUUGUACCGGUGUGGCCAUGGAGCAACUCAGAGAAACACACUUAACCCAACUGGAAAAAAACAGUCACACAAAAGGUAUUUUCUCAGCUCAGCUGUUUCAGCUGACUGUGGUGAUGAAGCAGCACAUCCCCAACACAAAGGGAAGGUGAGAAGAUGUGGCCAGACACAAACUAGAAUUGCACCCUUUCAGCAGCAGUGGAGAUCAGCUACAAGAGGUGUGACACCUUUCCUUCGCUGUGGGGUUAGCAGAACACCUUUACACCUAUUCUCUUUGCUUUCAUGAGGCCCCUUCUUCUUUCUCACCUUUGUAAGAGGCUCAGCAAUGCUGUCAGGCUGUGCUUGUAUCAUAGCUGGAAAGAGAGGCAUGCUGUUUGGACUCCUGAGCUGCCUUUGCUGGCAGCAGAACCCACACGAACACCUUAUA